UCCCUGGUAGCUCAGAUGGUAAAGCGUCUGCCUGCAAUGCGGGAGACCCGGAUACGAUCCCUGGUUUGGGAA
rnacentral:tRNA from 1 species